UACGAGGGGGGCAAAUGUUGUUCGGAAUCACUGGGCGUAAAGGGAGCGUAGGCGGGUUCUUAAGUUAGGUGUUUAAUCCCGGGGCCCAACCCCGGACCGGCACUUAAAACUGGGAAUCUUGAAUAGUGGAGAGGUCGGUGGAAUUGGGGGUGUAGCGGUGGAAUGCGUAGAGAUCCCCAAGAACACCAGUUGCGAAGGCGGCCGACUGGACACAUAUUGACGCUGAGGCUCGAAAGCAUGGGGAGCAAACAAG
rnacentral:rRNA from 1 species